rnacentral:rRNA from 1 species
GAUUUCUGGCGAACCGGCUCAACCCGAUACUGUAUGGUAUUGAGUGCUGAGUCGUGUUGGUCAUCCUUCCGGAAAGCUGCGUCUACCAUUCAGUUGGCCGGACGUACGUGAUCCGGAUCUAUUACUUUGAAAAAAUUAGAGUGUUUAAAGCAGGCUUACGCUAUGAAUACAUUAGCAUGGAAUAAUAAUUUAGGACUUUGGUUCUAUUUUGUUGGUUUCUAGGACUGAAGUAAUGAUUGAUAGGGAUAGUUGGGGGUGCUAGUAUUCCGCGGCCAGAGGUGAAAUUCUUGGAUUCGCGGAAGACUAACUACUGCGAAAGCAUU